ACGGAGGGUGCAAGCGUUGUUCGGAAUUACUGGGCGUAAAGGGCGUGUAGGCGGUUAGGCAAGUCAGGUGUGAAAUCCCUUGGCUCAACCAAGGAAGUGCGCUUGAAACUGCUUAACUAGAGUACAGGAGGGGAAAGUGGAAUUCCCAGUGUAGAGGUGAAAUUCAUAGAUAUUGGGAGGAACACCGGUAGCGAAGGCGGCUUUCUGGCCUGAUACUGACGCUGAGACGCGAAAGCGUGGGGAGCAAACAGG
rnacentral:rRNA from 1 species